UACGGGGGGGGGUAAGCGUUGUUCGGAAUUACUGGGCGUAAAGGGCUCGUAGGCGGCCAACUAAGUCGGACGUGAAAUCCCUCAGCUUAACUGGGGAACUGCGUCUGAUACUGGAUGGCUUGAGUUCGGGAGAGGGAUGCGGAAUUCCAGGUGUAGCGGUGAAAUGCGUAGAUAUCAGGAGGAACACCAAUGGCGAAGGCAGCUCGCUGGGACGUGACUGACGCUGAGACGCGAAAGCGUGGGGAGCAAACAGG
rnacentral:rRNA from 1 species